rnacentral:misc_RNA from 1 species
UCUCCGCGGAAGCAGCUGCAGUAGUGAAGCAGCCCAAGCCCAGGCUAGGGUGGCGUAGAACACACCUAUCUGCGCUCCCUAACAGUCACACUAAUUCUCACGGCUGCAGACUUGUGGGCGGCAUCAUGUCAGACCACGAAGACGAAGACGAUCUCCUCAGCCUCAAUCUAGGAGGCGACCGUGAUGAGGGCGACAGCGGCAGUGACAUUCGACACAGCGGCGCUGAUGAGGAGGACGAGGAAGGAGGCGAGCAGCUGCCCGAGGACGUUGCUGCCAAUGUCAUCUUGUCUGGGAAUGCGCAGGCCGCAAAGGGUGCACGGGCCCGCGGCAUCAACGAGCGCGUGACGAGUGCUGUCAUGACCAAGUAUGAGCGGGCACGCGUGCUGGGUACGCGCGCGCUGCAGAUAAGCAUGAACGCCCCUGUCGCUGUGGCGCUCGAGGGGGAAACCGAUCCGCUCACGAUUGCCGUAAAGGAGCUGCGUGAGCGCCGCACGCCUCUUAUCAUUCGUCGCGUGUUGCCGGACAACACGUACGAGGACUGGAGCGUCAGCGAGCUGCUCGUCGACUUUGAUCGCCCGGCGGAUGAGCGCUACACGAACAUCUAAGGCGGAUGGCGUCUGUGCUUGUGUGUGUGUGUGCGCAUGCGGGCGUGCAUUUGCUUUUGAGCUCUGAAUAAAGGGUUUCUGAGAUGGGGAGUUCGAGUCGGGAUGUCCGCUUUCUGUCGGCUGUGGCGACUGUACUGCUCCCUUGUGGCUGUGGAUGCCUUCUUUGACACUUCCCUCCCUCACAAAAGGGAGGGUGCUGUGUGCCGGCGCGGAGUGCCUUCGCGUGUAGUCGUGCCUCCGCGUCUUGGCUGUGCCAGUUGCGACGGAGCGGAUGCGGGAGAAAUGAGGGUGACACAGAAACCCCAAAAAGAAAAGCGCCGAGCGUACGCGUGUAAAGUGGCACUAGCGAGCAAAAAGGGAAAGGCGCAGACAAUUCAUGCACACAGCGCAGCAUAGG